rnacentral:rRNA from 1 species
GACGAAGGUGGCAAGCGUUGCUCGGAAUCACUGGGCUUAAAGCGGGCGUAGGCGGCCCGGCAAGUCGGGUGUGAAAACCCCUGGCUCAACCAGGGAACUGCACCCGAUACUACCAGGCUUGAGGCACUUAGGGGCGGCUGGAACUCUCGGUGGAGCGGUGAAAUGCGUAGAUAUCGAGAGGAACGCCAAUGGUGAAGACAGGUCGCUAGGAGUGUCCUGACGCUGAGGCCCGAAAGCUAGGGGAG